rnacentral:lncRNA from 1 species
AUGCUAUAUAACUAUAAAAUGUAUAAUGCAAAUGUGUUGCAAAAUUACAGUGUUACAAUACUACUUCCUAUACUGAUCUAUCAAGUGAAUGGCAUUACUAAAAGAACACUUUUUUUUUUCCCCCUCUCUUCUCCUCUCCUAGUGAAUUGGACCAACAGUACGUCAAUUAUGUAUUCAGUGUGGUGUUGUUGGCCUCCGCAUCCCAUCCAGCAGGUAAAGUGGUUUGAGUUGCUCCUUUUUAGAUUUCUGUAGUGCCUUUCCUUUUCAUGAAAGGUUUUAGAGGCCAAACUCCGUAGAAGUUAGCUGUGGAAUUCAAUUGCAGUAUGACUGAUAAUGUGGUAUCUUGCAGGAAGAAGCAAGAAGGUACCUGACACUGUGUAAUUUGUGUUUGAUACUUGGUAAUAUCUUUCUUAACUGCCCUUGGCAAAGAAGCAGCAUAGGGCAGCCAACAAACAACAGCUUUUGAGGUGGUACAUGGCAAAGAACAAAGGUUCCCUUCCUGAACAUCUCCUCUUGAGAGCAGUGCUCCAGUGCUCCUGAUAGAUCUGAGCUUCCUUCUCUGCAUUUCCCUCAGUGCUAUGCAAAGAUUUUGGUUUGUUGUUUUCAUGAGAUGUAGCCCAUCCCUUAACCCUGUGGCAGGAUUUGAAGUAGCAAAAGAUCAAAGGCUAAAAUUGAAGAAACUGAAUAUUUGAUGGUGGAAAAUACUGCUCUCG